rnacentral:rRNA from 1 species
UGGGGAAUAUUGCACAAUGGGCGAAAGCCUGAUGCAGCGACGCCGCGUGAGGGAUGACGGCCUUCGGGUUGUAAACCUCUUUCAGUAGGGACGAAGCGCAAGUGACGGUACCUGCAGAAGAAGCACCGGCUAACCACGUGCCAGCAGCCGCGGUAAUACGUAGGGUGCGAGCGUUGUCCGGAAUUACUGGGCGUAAAGAGCUCGUAGGCGGUUUGUCACGUCGUCUGUGAAAUCCUAGGGCUUAACCCUGGACGUGCAGGCGAUACGGGCUGACUUGAGUACUACAGGGGAGACUGGAAUUUCUGGUGUAGCGGUGGAAUGCACAGAUAUCAGGAAGAACACCGAUGGCGAAGGCAGGUCUCUGGGUAGUAACUGACGCUGAGGAGCGAAAGCAUGGGUAGCGAACAGG